rnacentral:tRNA from 1 species
GGGGAGAUGGCCGAGUUGGUCUAAGGCGUCAGAUUAAGGCUCUGAUCUCUUCGGAGGCAAGGGUUCGAAUCCCUUUCUCCUCA